AUUGAACGCUGGCGGCAGGCCUAACACAUGCAAGUCGAGCGAGCGGCGGACGGGUGAGUAAUGUAUGGGGACUGCCCGAUAGAGGGGGAUAACUACUGGAAACGGUAGCUAAUACCGCAUACUAUCGGAUAACCCAUAUGGGAUUAGCUAGUAGGUGAGGUAAUGGCUCACCUAGGCGACGAUCCCUAGCUGGUCUGAGAGUAUGACCAGCCACACUGGGACUGCGACAGGGCCCAGAGCCCGACGGCGGCAGCAGUGGGGAAUAUUUCACAAAGGGCGCAAGCCUGAUGCAGCCAUGCCGCGUGUAUGAAGAAGGCCCUAGUGUUGUAAAGUACUUUCACUCGGGAGGCGUUACCGCCAGAAGAAGCACCGGCUAACCCCUUGCCAGCAGCCGCGGUAAUAC
rnacentral:rRNA from 1 species